AAGUCGAGCGGACAGAUGGGAGCUUGCUCCCUGAUGUUAGCGGCGGACGGGUGAGUAACACGUGGGUAACCUGCCUGUAAGACUGGGAUAACUCCGGGAAACCGGGGCUAAUACCGGAUGCUUGUUUGAACCGCAUGGUUCAAACAUAAAAGGUGGCUUCGGCUACCACUUACAGAUGGACCCGCGGCGCAUUAGCUAGUUGGUGAGGUAAUGGCUCACCAAGGCAACGAUGCGUAGCCGACCUGAGAGGGUGAUCGGCCACACUGGGACUGAGACACGGCCCAGACUCCUACGGGAGGCAGCAGUAGGGAAUCUUCCGCAAUGGACGAAAGUCUGACGGAGCAACGCCGCGUGAGUGAUGAAGGUUUUCGGAUCGUAAAGCUCUGUUGUUAGGGAAGAACAAGUACCGUUCGAAUAGGGCGGUACCUUGACGGUACCUAACCAGAAAGCCACGGCUAACUACGUGCCAGCAGCCGCGGUAAUACGUAGGUGGCAAGCGUUGUCCGGAAUUAUUGGGCGUAAAGGGCUCGCAGGCGGUUCCUUAAGUCUGAUGUGAAAGCCCCCGGCUCAACCGGGGAGGGUCAUUGGAAACUGGGGAACUUGAGUGCAGAAGAGGAGAGUGGAAUUCCACGUGUAGCGGUGAAAUGCGUAGAGAUGUGGAGGAACAUCAGUGGCGAAGGCGACUCUCUGGUCUGUAACUGACGCUGAGGAGCGAAAG
rnacentral:rRNA from 1 species